rnacentral:ncRNA from 1 species
AAUGAGUUGUUUGAGCGCUAUUCAUUAUAAGUUAUAUGGGACUUUUUUAUAUAGUCAAAAAGCCCUACAAUAUCCGAAAGGGAGUUACCCACUACAGAUAUUAUUGAGCC